rnacentral:sRNA from 1 species
GAACUGAAGAUAUUUUCGACUGUCCUAUCUGUUGCGCUUCAAUUGAUUGUUUUAUGGUGUUUACAUGUGGCCAUCGAAUUUGUCAAAACUGCUUCGAAAAAAUGAGAGCUCUUCAAAGAAGGUUUGUGGAAUUUCUGUAUCAUCAUCACCCAGACGCAAAGUUUUGCGAAUUUUUCUUGAACCGAAAAUACUGUAGCCGGUCUCGAGGGGAAUGUUUGUUAAAUACAAAGAGGUGCGGACCUUUAAAGAGUACUGUAUUUUCAACCAAUUGUUGCUCUGGAAAUUGCAUCGAUUUUUUAUAGUUUUUGUUAGAAAUAUAUGUAUUUAUUCGAAAAACAAACAAAAAUAUACUGUAAUUUCAAACUUUGGAAUUUAUAUCAAUUCUUAAUUUUAAAGUUUUCACCACGAGUUUUCGAAACUUAAAAAAGUAUUAUAUAAUAUUUGAAUUUUUCUAAUAGUAAUAUUUCUAUCUAAAAACUUUUUAAAAAAUUGAUAACUUUUUAAAGGCGCACACCUUUUUGUAUUUAACACAAAUUCGUAGCGUCGAGACCAGCUAUCGUCUCUGUAAUAAUUUUACAAUUUUCCAAAUAAUUCAAAACUUUUAUAGAGCUGGUUCUGCUGAAGAUGUGGUCGCAUGUCCUACUUGUCGUGUAGUGAACAGGUCAAAACAAGUUAUGGUGGCACAAUCUGGACAUGUUCAAGAUAAAUCGGCUAUUCCUGGAAUCAUAUUGUCUGCGAAGGUACAUAAGGUUCAAUUGCCAAUAAUAUUUUUUAGAAUAUUCUAGAUGUCGGAGGCUAUUAUAUUGAUGCGAGAGAUUCUAGCAGCUGACCCACUAAACAAAAUCAUUUUAUUCACAACUAUUGAACAGACAUCCACACAAGUAUGGGAAUAUCUAACAAAGAUUCUCAAACUUGCCAACCUGCCAUUCAUUGCACCAACACGAGCUACUUGUGGAAAGAAAGUCUUCGAUUUUGAUGUAUCGGAAGAUACAAAGGUAUUUCUAUUUAGAUGUACUUUUUCCUAUAUUCUUCAAAUUUGCAGGUUCUUCUAUGUUCCCUAUCACUUUGUGCAAAUGGUCUUAAUAUGACCGGAGCCAAUCAUAUCAUCUUUUUGGAUCCACCACAUCUUCAAUCUGUUCUGAAUCAGGCCAUCGGUAGAAUUAAUCGAUUCGGACAGAAAAGAGACAUGAAUGUAUAUCAUUUGUUAGUUGACGGCAGUCUGGACAUUGAAUUAAGAGAAACUGCCAAAAAGACAUAUCGUAGAGAAGACGAACGUGAGUUAUUUCUCUAUUGGCUAUGUUAACGAUAGAUUUUUCAGAAAAAGGAUGGACCAUUGGCGACAUUCGUAGUAUGUUUGGAAUCAAUUAUUAUCCAGUGCAGGCGAAUAUUCGAGCCAUAGUUGGCAAUGUUGAUGGAAACUUUCACAGAAUGCAAGAAUUCUUCCGCAACAACAUUGUUAGAAGAGCCAUUCCAUAAAUCCACGGUUUUUUAUUCUUGUUAACAUGUUUAUUGUUCCCCCGACAUUUCCACAUUUUUUUGCUUUAACUAAUUAAUUUUUUGACACAAACCAAAGUUUCACCCUGUUACCUCGUUUCAAUUGUUGCCACUAAAUCGCUCUCUCCAGCCCCACAGAUCAUCAUUUCACUGCAUUCAAAUUUGACUGAUCUGCUUUACCAAAAAUCGAUCUUUCAAUGAAAUGUUUUUCAACAAAAAAAAAGAACAACUAAUUUAUUUUCGCUUUUUCACACUUUUCAGGUUUGCAUUCUAAUACAUUACGCUGUAAUGUGUUCGCAUUCUAAUUUGAUAUAAAUUUUUAAAAUUUCAAAGAAAAACUAAAAACUUGAAAAAGCGUCAGUAUGUUUCAAGGUUUUAAUCCAGAUUUUUGUGAGGAGAUCAGGUCAGUUAACAUGAAAUAACAUUGCUGAUACUCAGAUUAGUCUGAAAAAAUAUAUUACGCUGUAAUGUGUUUAUUUGAUUUGAUUUAUUUUUCCAACAUUAAGAGCCAAAAGGUAAUACAUUAAAAGGUAGUACAAUUUAAGGUUUAAUGAGAAAAUAAAAUUUAUAAAACGAGACAAACCCAGCAAGAGUUCAUCUCGAGUGUGGGAAAUGGGUAAGGUAAGAAUUAGAAAACAGAAAACAAGAAGAAUAGAGAAUGAAGAAUUAUAAAGAAAAGAGAAUGGACUCGAGAUCACAUAGUUUCAAUACCGGGGAAUGUGAAGAUCGAGAAAGUGAGAAAAUUGGAAAGGAGAGAGGAAAACCGGGACGUUUUUGAAAAGAUUAUUCCAAAUGGGAACUGAUUGGGCGAAAAAGUGAGCGGUGCAACUGUCCUUUCUAACGAGAAUCAUAGGGUGCCUAUUAGAGCUAGCAAAUGGGACAAAUUGAUUAAGACUAGGGAAGUGGGAUGAUCCAGUGAGGAAUCUAUAGAGUAGUUUCAUUUGAGCUUUGACAGGAGAGAGACCAUUACAGAUCGUCUCCUAUAGAGGGCUGCCGGCAGGGGGGCGUUGUGGACCUGUGGGAAGAAGGGAAGAAGUGGGGAGACGACCGCACGGGCUGUAUGUAAAUGGGUACCUGGCCGUAAUCUCAAAAACGAGCACAGUAAAGUAUAUUUUUAGUUAAUUUCCUGAAAGAAAACAGUAAAAAAGAUUUUUUAGUGCAAUUAAACAAAUCUUUGGAUAUAGUUUUAUUUAGAAACUUUUCAUUUUACCAAGAUUUUUUGAUUUAGUACUGAAUUUCAUUGAUUUCUAUUAAGUUCUUCGAAUAAUUUAAAAUGCCUUAAGUACAGGCUCUGUGAGUAGUUAUGUUAAGUAAUUUAAUUCGACACAUUUGAACAAAUUCGGACAGAAACAACUUUUUUGCUCAAUUUUCUCAAAUAGAAUUUCGAAAAAAAAAUUGAAAAAAUUGAAUUUGAAUUUUGAUGAAACCUUUUUGAAAUCAGUUAAUUGGUAUGUUUCCCAUAUACCAAACCCAUUCAAAAUCUACGAUUGUUAUUGAGAAUUUGCAAAAAUUGAAGCAUUUUCAGUUCAUACAGUAGUUAUAAUAUGAAAACUGUUACAUCUCAAAGAAAAAACAUUUGUUUGAAAAAAAUAUCAAAAACCUUUUUAAUUUUAUUUUCAGAAAAAAAAUUAAAUUUCCAAUCAAAUUCCUGUAGCUAAUCAGGCUCUAAAGUUUCGUCAGUCUUGACCAGAGGUGCCCUUUUACAGACCGUGGUCCGUAAUUGUGCAUGAGAGGCCGCUGUAGAGACAGCCGCACGCUGUUGUAAUAGAAGAAACGGCGGAACUUAUGUUUUGAUACCUUGAGAAUUUGGAAAUUUCUACGGAUUUUCAAAACGUUUUCAAAACUAUCGGAAAUCACCAAAAAAACUUUCAAAAAAUGUUGAAAUCUAUUUAGUUUGGGGAUUUGAAAACUUUUAACUUAGUUUUUUGUUAGAAAUAUAUUUAUUUAUUAGAAAAACUCAAAAACUGAAGGCAUGAAUUUCGAGAAACGAACAAAAAUAUGCUGUAAUUUCUGUGGAAUUUAUAUCGAUGUUUUGGAACUUAUGUUUUUAGUUUUAUAUUUGAGUUUUUCUAAUAAUAAUAUUUCUAUCGAAAAACUAUGAAAAAAUCGAUGAAGUUUCCAGAGCAACAAUUACAGUACUCUUUAAAGACGCACAACUUUUCGCAUUUAAGCCAAAUUCGUCGUGUCGAGACCAGCUACCUUUUUUUUUUUGCAAAAUCGCAUCGUCUCUGUAAUAAUUUUGCAAUAUUCCAAAUAAUUAAAAAAUUUUAUAGUAGCAAAUUCAAAAAGUACUACGAAGCUCAGAUUAAAGUUGUUAUUGAAUCCGUUAGUAACGACGUUAAAGAACUUCGUUAUCUUAUGAAUUUGAUGAAGAAACAAUUGGACGGAGA